ACAGGACGGAAAGACCCCGUGGAGCUUUACUGCAACCUGAUAUGGAAUGUUUGUACCGCUUGUACAGGAUAGGUAGGAGCCGAAGAGACGUGUGCGCUAGCAUACGAGGAGGCAAUGGUGGGAUACUCCCCUGGCUGUAUGACCAUUCUAACCCGCCACGCUUAGCGCGUGGGGAGACAGUGUCAGGUGGGCAGUUUGACUGGGGCGGUCGCCUCCUAAAGAGUAACGGAGGCGCCCAAAGGUUCCCUCAGAAUG
rnacentral:rRNA from 1 species